rnacentral:rRNA from 1 species
UUGCUCUUCAACGAGGAAUACCUAGUAAGCGUGAGUCACCAACUCGCGUUGAUUACGUCCCUGCCCUUUGUACACACCGCCCGUCGCUACUACCGAUUGAAUGGCUUGGUGAGAUCUCCGGAUUGGCGUUGAGGAGCCGGCAACGGCACCUCUUGGCCGAGAAGCUGAUCAAACCUGGUCAUUUAGAGGAAGUAAAAGUCGUAACAAGGUUUCCGUAGGUGAACCUGCGGAAGGAUCAUUAGUGAUUGACCUCCGGGUCUUAAUAACUAUAAUCUUCUACCUCUGUGAACCGUUGGUCUUCGGACCGAUUCUUAUAAUAAACAUCUGUGUAAUGAACGUAACCUAUAUUAAUCAUAUAAAACUUUUAACAACGGAUCUCUUGGCUCUCGCAUCGAUGAAGAACGCAGCGAAAUGCGAUAAGUAAUGUGAAUUGCAGAAUUCAGUGAAUCAUCGAAUCUUUGAACGCACCUUGCGCCUUUUGGUAUUCCGAAAGGCAUGCCUGUUUGAGUGUCAUGAAAUAUCAACCCCUCCUGGUUUCUGAUCAGUGUUGGGCUUGGACUUGGGUGUCUGCCAGUUCGCUGGCUCGCCUUAAAAGAGUUAGUGGUAAUAACAUCCACGGCUAAGACGUAAUAAGUUUCGUCUGGUCAAGGUGUGACGACUGCUCAUAACCCGACCGCAAGGUCAUUAUUUAUGCUCUGACCUCAAAUCAGGUAGGACUACCCGCUGAACUUAAGCAUAUCAAUAAGCGGAGGA